UAGUUAUUUUAGUGCUCUGACACAUUCUCUGUGAAGAUAGAUACUGGAUGUAUACAAUCCCCUAACCAAAUAGUGUAGCAAUUAGUUAAAUGUAUUUUUUGUUGUUUGGACUAGUCUCUCUUUUAUGCUCUUUGAAGGACAAGAGAUGAAGCCACACACACAACUCCUUGAAUGCAUUCUAGGAAGAUCCAAACUUGAAAGAUAUAGGGGGAAUUUAGUAGCUAUUCAAAGGAGUCCUUGAUUUUGACCAAACUGAAGUCUUGCAGGCUUGAAGCACAGUGUGGGACAGUUUAUGCUGCCAGUCCCUGUGCUGCAUCUGUUCUUUGGAAAAACUAGAAGACUUCAAUCAGUUUGACACUUUCCACCACCACGAGCCUAAUCAGAGGAUUCUUAUUACUGUGUCUACAUUGCUUUUCCUAUAAAGUUUAAAAAAAAAACAACCAGAAAAUUGGCAAACUAUAUUCUAAUAAAUGAGUUAUGUUUUUAUAUACCUGUAAAUAGUCUUAAGCAUGUGCAUAGACUACAGAUGAGCACCCAGGUGAUCUUUGUUACUGUUCUUAUCCCAAACUCCCUUAUUAAAUGGUACUCACUGCCAUCACCUCUAUAAUUAGACUGUAAGAUGCUUGGGGUAUAGACCUUGGCCCUGAUUCAGAAAAGCACUUGAACAUGUCCUUUACUUUAAGCAUGUCUGUAAUCACAUUCCUAUUCAGUAAAAUGCUUGCCUUCAAUGGGACUUGUGC